GGGAUAUAGCUCAGCUGGGAGAGCGAUACGUUCGCAACGUAUAGGUCACGGGUUCAAAUCCCGCUAUCUCC
rnacentral:tRNA from 1 species